GGGGGGAAGGUUCUAGAAAAGCGGCGGCAGCGGCUCUAGCGGCAGUAGCAGCAGCGCGGGGUCCGGAGUGGAGGUGCUCCUAGCGGUGUUGUUUCUCGAGCAGCGGCAGUUCUCACUACAGCGCCAGGACGAGUCCGGUUCGUGUUCGUCCGCGGAGAUCUCUCUCAUCUCGCUCGGCUGCGGGAAAUCGGGCUGAAGCGACUGAGUCCGCGAUGGAGAAAACUUUAGAAACUGUUCCUUUGGAGAGGAAAAAGAGAGAAAAGGAACAAUUCCGUAAACUCUUUAUUGGUGGCUUGAGCUUUGAAACUACAGAAGAAAGUUUGAGGAACUACUACGAGCAAUGGGGAAAACUUACAGACUGUGUGGUAAUGAGGGAUCCUGCAAGCAAAAGAUCAAGAGGAUUUGGUUUUGUAACUUUUUCAUCCAUGGCUGAGGUUGAUGCUGCCAUGGCUGCAAGACCUCAUUCAAUUGAUGGGAGAGUGGUUGAGCCAAAACGUGCUGUUGCAAGAGAGGAAUCUGGAAAGCCUGGGGCUCAUGUAACUGUGAAGAAGCUGUUUGUUGGUGGAAUUAAAGAAGAUACUGAGGAACAUCAUCUUAGAGAUUACUUUGAAGAAUAUGGGAAAAUUGAUACCAUUGAGAUAAUUACUGACAGGCAGUCUGGGAAGAAAAGAGGCUUUGGAUUUGUUACUUUUGAUGACCAUGAUCCUGUGGAUAAGAUUGUGUUGCAGAAAUACCAUACCAUCAAUGGUCAUAAUGCAGAAGUGCGAAAGGCUUUGUCUAGACAAGAAAUGCAGGAAGUCCAAAGUUCUAGAAGUGGAAGAGGAGGCAACUUUGGUUUUGGAGAUUCUCGUGGUGGUGGUGGAAAUUUUGGACCAGGACCAGGAAGUAACUUUAGAGGAGGAUCUGAUGGAUAUGGAAGUGGUCGUGGAUUUGGGGAUGGCUAUAAUGGGUAUGGAGGAGGACCUGGAGGUGGCAAUUUUGGAGGUAGCCCUGGUUAUGGAGGAGGAAGAGGAGGAUAUGGUGGUGGAGGACCUGGAUAUGGCAACCAGGGUGGGGGCUACGGAGGUGGUUAUGACAACUAUGGAGGAGGAAAUUAUGGAAGUGGAAAUUAUAAUGAUUUUGGAAAUUAUAACCAGCAACCUUCUAACUACGGUCCAAUGAAGAGUGGAAACUUUGGUGGUAGCAGAAACAUGGGGGGACCAUAUGGUGGAGGAAAUUAUGGUCCAGGAGGCAGUGGAGGAAGUGGGGGUUAUGGAGGGAGAAGCCGAUACUGAGCUUCUUCCUAUUUGCCAUGGAUCUUUUAGAUGCUGCUGCUUCAAUGCAAGGAAAGGAAAUAACCCCAGCGAGGUACUCUUCAGGGAUACAGGUCUAGUACAAGAGAACUCUUGGCGACUACUAAGUUCAGCCAGUCUUAAGAAACUGUGCUGUUUCUACAAAGCUUUAACUACAGUAGUUUAUAAGGAUGCCAACGAAAGCUGAGGGUGUAGAGCAAAAUAGUUCUAAGCUUCAGUUAAACUUCUUUAGCAUUGAUAUGAACCAUGGACAAGUAUAUUCUGCUGCCACAAAGACUGUAAAGUGCUUCAUUUCAACAGCUGAGGCAAGCCAAGUGAUCAUUAAUAAAGCUUUUCUUGGUUCCUUCAGUGGUGUUGGUAGUAAAAUGGAAGGUGUCUUGCUGCAGGUAACUAAUGAAGAAGUGGUCAACCACAGAGUCUUCAAGAAAUAAGAAAUUCUGUACCAUCUGAAAGUAGUUCUUGUUGGUGCCUUCAUUUAAAAAAGCACUCUUUUAAGAUUAAAGGGAAAUGUUUUCUGAUAAAAUAACAGACUUCAUUUAGUACAGGUUCUUAAUAUAAAACAAUUACAAAUUGAGCAUUGUUUGUAAAAGAGUAACAUCAAAUCAGCUAGAGAGAAAAUGUAUCAUGUUUUAAAUUAGGUUUUGUGAGUAGACAGAUUAAAAUUCUAUUUUAAAUAUAAAGUUUAUAAAAUAAAUACUUUUGUAUUCAAA